rnacentral:rRNA from 1 species
UACGGGGGGUGCAAGCGUUGUUCGGAAUUACUGGGCGUAAAGGGCUCGUAGGUGGCCAACUAAGUCAGACGUGAAAUCCCUCGGCUUAACCGAGGAACUGCGUCUGAUACUGGAUGGCUUGAGUUCGGGAGAGGGAUGCGGAAUUCCAGGUGUAGCGGUGAAAUGCGUAGAUAUCUGGAGGAACACCGGUGGCGAAGGCGGCAUCCUGGACAGACACUGACGCUGAGGAGCGAAAGCGAGGGGAGCAAACGGG